CCAGACUCCUACGGGAGGCAGCAGUGGGGGAUAUUGCACAAUGGGGGGAACCCUGAUGCAGCGACGCCGCGUGGGUGAAGAAGUAUUUCGGUAUGUAAAGCCCUAUCGGCAGGGAAGAAUUUAGACGGUACCUGACUAAGAAGCCCCGGCUAACUACGUGCCAGCAGCCGCGGGAAUACGUAGGGGGCAAGCGUUAUCCGGAUUUACUGGGUGUAAAGGGAGCGUAGACGGCAUGGCAAGCCAGAUGUGAAAUACCGGGGCUCAACCCCGGGACUGCAUUUGGAACUGUUAAGCUGGAGUGUCGGAGAGGCAGGCGGAAUUCCUAGUGUAGCGGUGAAAUGCGUAGAUAUUAGGAGGAACACCAGUGGCGAAGGCGGCCUGCUGGACGAUAACUGACGUUGAGGCUCGAAAGCGUGGGGAGCAAACAGGAUUAGAUACCCCCGUACGG
rnacentral:rRNA from 1 species